rnacentral:rRNA from 1 species
AUGACUAGCACACAACGGAGUGAAAGCGCAAACCACAUGUUGAAGAACUAUGUGCUGCCUGGGUGUCCAAUGCAUAUCUUUGUGAGGAAAUACAUGAGUUUGAUUUUUGACAGGGAAUCUAAAGGGAAUUAUGAGGAGAAGCGGACAACAAUUGGAAGGCCCCUUAUGCGAGCAAAUCUGGCAACUGAGAGACAUGCUGGGAAGAUUUACACGAGGGCGAUGUUUGAGCAAUUUGGCCACAUAUUAUAUGAGUGUGGUGCCUAUCAGGUGGAAGAGAUUGAGAAAGGCAAAGCGUACGUGGCAAUACAUACAGAUGCUGCAAGGAGGGAGAAAUGGUGCCGAACCUCAUACAAGGUCACGGUGGUUGAAGCAGGGGAGGAGUUUGAUUGUGAGUGCAGGCAAUUUGCACACAUGGGCCUGCUGUGCAGCCAUAUCCUGAAGUUUUCGUUAAUGCAGGUUCUCGACUUCAUUCGUGUGACAGAAAUCCCAAAGAAGCACGUUGUGAAAAGAUGGACAAGGGACGCGAGAGAUAUACUUCCAGCCCACCUGGUGCAGUACCAGAAAGACAAUGCCCAGGGAAACCCAUUUAGUUUUCGGCAUUUCAACAUGUAUAUGCAAGCCAUGGAACUUGUUAGGAUGGGUGACUCAAGUGUGGCAGCAUACGAGCGAUUGACUACACUAUUCAACCAAUGUGCAGCUGAAAUGAAGCCACUCACAGAGGUCAGAGAUGGCCUAGGAUUGGAAGACAGGUUGGCAGCUAAUAAUACGGUUCCUAGUAGGGUUGAAGCAAACACCAUUCCGAGUAGGUUUGAGGCAGAUCCCGACGCAUUCGAGGCAGUAGAAGGUACACAAAUGAUCAUCGGAAAUGAUGACAGCAUAUCAGCUAAUGUGUCAGUGACUAGGCUGGAUAACCUGCUAGCACCAGCAAAGCGGAAGCAAGUUGGAAGGCCGACGAGCAGUAAGGAGAAGGCCCCAUAUGAGGGUUUAAGUAAGAGAACUAGAUUUUGCGGCAUAUGCAGGCAGCAAGGACAUAAGAGAACAACCUGA